rnacentral:ncRNA from 1 species
AAACUUGAGAGUUUGAUCCUGGCUCAGAACGAACGCUGGCGGCAGGCUUAACACAUGCAAGUCGAACGCGUGUAGCAAUACACGAGUGGCGCACGGGUGAGUAACGCGUGGAUAUCUGCCUUUUGGUUCGGAAUAACUCCGGGAAACUGGAGCUAAUACCGGAUGGUUCCUACGGGAUAAAGAUUUAUCGCCAAAAGAUGAGUCCGCGUACGAUUAGCUAGUUGGUGAGGUAAUGGCUCACCAAGGCGACGAUCGUUAGCUGGUCUGAGAGGACGAUCAGCCACACUGGGACUGAGACACGGCCCAGACUCCUACGGGAGGCAGCAGUGGGGAAUAUUGGACAAUGGGGGCAACCCUGAUCCAGCCAUGCCGCGUGAGUGAUGAAGGCCUUCGGGUUGUAAAGCUCUUUUGGCGGGGACGAUGAUGACGGUACCCGCAGAAUAAGCCCCGGCUAACUUCGUGCCAGCAGCCGCGGUAAGACGAAGGGGGCUAGCGUUGUUCGGAAUUACUGGGCGUAAAGCGC